AUACUGAAUUUUAAUGCAUGUUUAUUUAUUUAUUUGUAUCUUAUAGAUGUAUUAAUCUGUUGUCGAGCUGCAGUAUCAGAUCAACUCACUGAUUUGGGAUCAAAUGUGACCAUAAACUGUGAUCUUGAUGAAAAUGAGGUUUAUUGGAUUUUACUGAAAACACCAGAUCCUCCAAGAGUGAUUCUACGGUCAUUCCCAACACCAAUAUCACCUUUUUACACAAAUAAAACAUUCAGAAAGAAAUAUUCACUGCAAUUUAAACACCGUUUGGUUAUUAAUAAUGUGACUGCUGAUGAAUUAGGAGUUUAUUACUGUAUGAACACAGACACUCCUCCAAAACUCAGCAACAGCACCAGACUGCACUUCACCGAAUCAACUCAACUAACUGAGUGUCACAAUCAGACAGCGGUGGAGUUUAUUGAUCAGAAUCAGAAACAAUGGCAGAUUAUUAUCAUCAUAUCUGGACUGAUGAACGGGCUUCUGCUCAUUGUGCUGAUUGUUUUUGCUGUUGGAAAAACAGAACGGUUGGAAAAAUAUGAUCCUGAUGUUCAGACACGAGUUAUAUAUCAGCCUCAUAACCCAAACCGACUAACAUCACAAUAAGGUAAAAUAUGUGAAACCAUUAUCAAUAGUUUUAGUAAAAUUAAUUAUUGUAAGUUUCGAAAAUUGUUAAGAAUUCUUGCUGAGCUCUUAUUUGAAGAAAUCAUAGAGCCUCUUGUUUUGAUUACUGUUAAUUUUAAUAAAAAAGCUUAAUGUAAAUAUUUUUUUCUUUGUUGCUCUUUCAGUUCACACGGAGGUGGAUGAUAUUAAGCAACAGCAUCUGUGUUUGAUUAUAUAACAUGUUCUUAAAAUAUCAUGUGCUUAUUAUACUUUAUGUCAAGAAUAAAUAAUUUUACAGUGUAAUAUCA